rnacentral:rRNA from 1 species
CGAAGGGGGCGAGCGUUGUUCGGAUUUACUGGGCGUAAAGGGCGCGUAGGCGGCGCAGCAAGUCGCGUGUGAAAGCCCCGGGCUCAACCUGGGAAUGGCGCGCGAUACUGCUGUGCUGGAGUUCGGGAGAGGAGCGUGGAAUUCCCAGUGUAGAGGUGAAAUUCGUAGAUAUUGGGAAGAACACCGGUGGCGAAGGCGGCGCUCUGGACCGAUACUGACGCUGAGGCGCGAAGGCGUGGGGAGCAAACAGGAUUAGAUACCCUGGUAGUCCACGCGGUAAACGAUGUGUGCUAGACGUUGGGGAGCCUAGCUCUUCGGUGUCGCAGCAAACGCUUUAAGCACACCGCCUGGGGAGUACGGCCGCAAGGUUA